AUUGGCAUGGCGGUAGCCUCUGAAUAUUUCUGUUGACUGAUGGCAGACCAUCGUGAGUUUAUCUCCCUAGCCUGAGCUAAAGCACUGUAAUGUUACCCGGUCACUGAGAGAGAUUUCAGCAUUGUGGUCUAAAACAGUGUUUCAGAGCAAAUAGCCAAGGCUCUGGAAUGUGCUUGACAACAUCUGUGUGCCAACAGAAGUACCACACUUGCACUUGCUCAGUGAUUUAAUAAACCAGUUAAUGCAAAUACUGUGAAUUUAAUGUUCUGGAGAAGGUAACUUGUGAGAAAAGGUUGGAGUGCGUGUACAGGUGGGGUCGUGUUUUCAGACCACAGAUACCAAAGUGGGAUCCUCUGCAGGCACUAAGCCAGGAGAGUGGAGCAGGAGGAGGGUGA
rnacentral:lncRNA from 1 species